rnacentral:tRNA from 1 species
GGAAGCGUGCCUGACAAAAUAGGACUACUUUGAUAGAGUAGACAUAGGGAUAAACCCCCCUCACUUCCC